CCCCUUCGUCCCGUGUCUUCUUUUCUCUCGCUAGGGUAAACGGUUGGUCCUCCCUCGCACUUUAAUACCAUCGAUUGUAGCUCUCUAUCGUCAAUUUUUGUAAGUAAAAAAAGUUUUAUUUUUUUCAUUAUAUAUUUCUCUUACCUCAUUUUCUUAUAUUUUUCUUUUCCUCUCUCUCUCUCCUUUUCUAUUUUUCUCUUCCCCUUUUUCUUCUUCCUGACGCCAUGAUCAAGUCUAUGAGAGAUCUUUGGCUAUAACUCUCUCUCUCUCUGCGUCGUCUCCUCUAUCUCUCUCCCUUCUAGGGUUUGUCAUCUAGUUUAUACAUGUAAACUAAAUAUAUAAGCUUGCCAUUUUCACCGAUAAAACAAAGCUUUGGGUUUAGGAUUUUUCAGUGGCUAUCUAUGACUGUUUACCAUGCUGAUUAGAAUUGGAAUUUUGUUAUAUUUCAAAUACAAGGCAUUUGUUCCUGUUAAAGUUGGGGUGAAAAAAGUAAUUUCUGUUUUGUAUAGAAGUUUCACUUGUGUUUGAAUUUCUACACUAUAUGUGUAUUCAUUUAGAAAACCAUACGUAUAUGUAUGAUAUAUAAUCUAUAGCACAGUGCAGAAAA